GUGUGUGUGAGAGAGAGAGAGAGAGAGAGAGUUACUCAGGUCACGAUUGAGUUCGCAGAGAGUGAGUGAACCCGGAGGAGGAAAGGAAGCCAUUUUUGGUUCCCGUUAGAGAGAAAGUAUCAUGAUCUUCCAUGACUGAAAGGAACGAAGGAAAAUAACCAGCGUAAAGAUGAUGAGAAGAUGAAAACGCCACUGAUAGAAAGGAAACAGAGGAACGACGUUUUAUUUCUGUAUAUCAGAGGAAAAGCCUAACAAGACGCAGAAGGUUACAAUACAUAAAAGCCAGAAAGGUGUUGCCUCCCUGUGAUUCUAUCAAGAAAGAGUUCUAAGAUCCUCUUUAGGAAUAACAGUGAUUUUUCUUUCAACUGUACAAAAAUACUGUAAUUGGUUCUAUCAGAACCAAAACCUGAGUUCAAGCAAUGAAUUUCUUGCAUAGUCCUAGACACAGGUUCCUCUCACCCUUUACCCUCUUCAUCCAACGCCGAUGGAAGAAACCCACCGUUUCCGCCCAAACCCGUUUGGAGGACAGAGUACGAGACCCCCACUUUGACAAACUCAUGACUCACCUCAACAGACUCUACCUUGUCCUCGAAAUCCACCACCUCAUGUCCACACGCAAGCGCGCUCCCUUCGUCUCCCUCACCCUAAUGUCCCGCUGGAGAAACAUCCUCGGACUCAAUGUCCCUGUGGGCUCCUUCCUCCACAAAUACCCUCAUGUGUUCGACGUGUUCGUCCACCCCUUCAGGAGGAACACGUGCUGCAGGAUCACGAAAAAGAUGAAAGAGUUAAUCUUGCUUGAAGGGGUGGUGGUGAGGCAGCAGGAGAUGGAGGCUGUGAAGAGGGUGAAGAAGCUGCUGAUGAUGUCUGUGAAUGGCACUCUUCGUUUGCACGCUUUGAGGAUGGUCAGGAGGGAACUGGGUCUACCUGAGGAUUUCAGAGACUCCAUUCUUGGGAAAUUCAGUGGGGAUUUUAAAUUGGUUGGUUUGGAGGUUGUGGAAUUGGUUGACUGGGAUGCAGAAUUGGGAUUGGCUGAGGUUGAGAAAUGGAGGGAGAGAGAGUACACAGAGAAGUGGUUGAGUGAGUUUGAGACCAAGUUUGCAUUUCCCAUUGGUUUCCCAACUGGGUUUAAGAUCGAGAGAGGGUUUAGAGAGAGGUUGAAAAAUUGGCAGAGGCUUUCAUACACUAAGCCUUAUGAACGGAAGGAGGUUGUUAGGGUGAGGACAUGUGGUGGGAUUGAACGGUAUGAGAAGAGGGUUGUGGCUGUUCUUCAUGAGCUAUUGAGCUUGACUGUGGAGAAAAUGGUUGAGGUUGAUCAACUGGUUCAUUUUCGUAGAGACCUAGGUAUUGAAGUUAAUGUGCGUGAAUUGCUUUUAAGGCACCCUGGUAUAUUUUACAUAUCAACUAAAGGGAAGACUCUAAUUGUUUUUCUUAGGGAAGCAUAUCGUAAAGGGGGUUUGAUUGAACCGAAUCCUGUGUAUGAGGCACGUAGGAGUAUGUUGGAUCUUGUUCUAUUAGGGUGUAGAAAAACCAGAAAAUUGUUGGUUGGUGACGAGGCUAAGGAAGAGAGUAAUGCUGUAGUCUGUGAAGUGAAUGAGGAAGGUGAAAGACAAGGAGAUUGGGUGAUUCCUUUCUUGGAGAACUGUGAGCAGAGUAGAUCCCCUUGAUGCUGUGUGUAAAGGUAGCAGAUGUAGGAUAUUUGAAGAGAUUACGAAAAUGGUUUCAGGUUUUUGGAGUUCAUUACCUUUGGCUUCUAUUUCCUUGAGCAGUGUUUCAUUUGCAUUCUACUGAUCUCGAUUGAUUUUUCAUGUGGUAGCUAGAUGAAUGGUGGACAAAUAAGCUCCUUUGUGUUAAAUAUGUGCAAUAUCUUUACUGCCUGUGUUGUCUUUGGUUACUUGAAUUAAAGGAUUAUAAAUUAAUGAUGUUCAGUUGUCUUUCCUGUUGUAUUUGUUAUAGGAAAUUACUUCUAUUUACUUAAUGUUUAUUAAUCCAUUGCUUUCUACACCACAUGGAAAAUGAAGACUCAGAAGAUUAUUAGGCGUGGGGUGGAAAAGAUGUAGGGCAUUGAGAAAUCUGAAGUCUAAGUAGUGCAAUGUUACUGCUAUUUACCUUCGAAUUAAAAGCAAACAUGAUUAGACCGACUAUGUCAUUUGCUCAAGACUGCAUGGAAUAGAUCAAGUGCAGUCACUGGACUUGAAGAGGACAAUUGUCUUCACUUUUCUCGGUUUUGCUUUAGUAGGUCCAACAUUAUAGUUUGGUUCUAUCUUUAGGAAAUUUUCUGCCAUGGUCACAUGAGUUUGGAUGAAGGCUGAACGAUUUGUCAAGUCUGUCUCAUUUCCAUUGCUCUUCCUGACAUUUUUUUAGGGAUUUGUAUCUGAGUAAAUUGGUUACACUUCCUGGAGCAUCAGAUGCAUUUUUGCGGCUUGUACUUGAUCAGUUCUUAUUUUCUCCCAUAUUCAUCGAGUUUUCUUAGCUACAUUGGAAAUCCAUCACAAGCUGUACUGUACCUAAGCUAAAACAGGUAUGUUUAACUUACUCGCUUUUGUUAAAACGGAUUCAAAGAGUGGUUAUUAAUGUUGUCAUGUUUAUUAGUGUAUAUUCAUCUACCAAUUUCAUUUUGUAAGAGUGGUUCUCUGCAGUUCAAGCAAACUGGAAACUAUAGAUACCUUUUCAAUUUCUCAACUUCAGAUUUGUUCCAUAACAAUUUCAGGUUAGACUGGUAGACCCCAUGCACACACACUGGGGAUUUUACUUCAACAUAAAUCUAUUCACCACUCCGAUACAUGUUGGCAUUUUAAUAUUGAAGAUCGAUGUCUAAUUUGACUUCACCAGUACUUAAUUUUCUUUCUUGAAAUACAUUUAAGAUAAUCAGGAUUUUAUUUAGUCGAUUGCUCCUUGUGGAAAUUCAUAGUUCUUGAAAAAAGAAUUUUCAAUUGAUCUUUCAAUAGAUACUCUCUCAUACUACCCUUCUAACCCUUUUUUAGCUGAACAACAACGGAAAAAUGAACAUAAUGAAGGAACUUUUUAUUAACAUUUCCAUCUUCAUCUUGCAACAUGUUUGGAUCUCUGGCAUGCAUCUUUAUGUCCCUUGUUUUCAAGUAUUAUAUCAUAUGAAGAUGGGAUGCCGUUUGGCUUUCUUAGUCGGUUGACAUGGCCACCCAGUUGUUCGCAGUUCAUUGUCCCAUUUUUCUAUGUAAAGCAAGCAUUUAAAUUCACACGCAUAUAGUUGAUUUUUAAUUACAUUGAGAAGUUCUCAAAUGCCUAAAAUCAGUGGAAUGGAGCUAUCUUUGGUUAUGCUUGUUGACAUUUCAGAUGGAUAUUUUUCAACUUAACCUACCAGAUUGUAUUUGCUGUUGAUAGUAUUCCUUGGCAAUAGAAUCUAACGUUUUCUUCAAUGUUGUUAUAUUUGCUUCUCCAUUUUAUUAACGUUAUUGUUGAGUUUAAAGUAAAUGGACAUAAUUUCAGGUCCUUGCUGCUAAUGUUAUUGCUUUGGCUUGGAAUGUCAUUCUCUCAUUUAAGGCACACAAAGAGGUUCUUCCAAAAUAGGUAAGCUUUAUUUUCUUACCUUAGGAGUUGAAAUAUACACGAACAUGAGGCAAGAAGAAAUUAAUAGCUUCAUAAUUAAGUAGUUGUAAAGGUGUUAUUUCUGUAAUUAAAAGUGAAAAUACGAUAUUCUUCAAAUGAUCGGCAAUUAUAAAGUUACUCGUUACUAUAAUAUCUACCAGUUCACCUUCAACAAAGAAUUAUUAGGACACUUGGAAAAAAAAUAGAAUAGUUUUGCUGAGUGAUUCAAUAUGUAUUCCCUAACAAAAACCAUCUUGUAAUAGGGUGAUGUACAAGAAAAUCCUAUUAUUAUGGAUGUAUAUAUUUUUCAUUAAAAUUAUAA